AGAGUUUGAUCCUGGCUCAGGAUGAACGCUAGCUACAGGCUUAACACAUGCAAGUCGAGGGGCAUCAGGAAGAAAGCUUGCUUUCUUUGCUGGCGACCGGCGCACGGGUGAGUAACACGUAUCCAACCUGCCCUUUACUCGGGGAUAGCCUUUCGAAAGAAAGAUUAAUACCCGAUGGGAUAAUGAUUCCGCAUGGUUUGAUUAUUAAAGGAUUCCGGUAAAGGAUGGGGAUGCGUUCCAUUAGGUUGUUGGUGAGGUAACGGCUCACCAAGCCUUCGAUGGAUAGGGGUUCUGAGAGGAAGGUCCCCCACAUUGGAACUGAGACACGGUCCAAACUCCUACGGGAGGCAGCAGUGAGGAAUAUUGGUCAAUGGGCGCGAGCCUGAACCAGCCAAGUAGCGUGAAGGAUGACUGCCCUAUGGGUUGUAAACUUCUUUUAUAAAGGAAUAAAGUCGGGUAUGGAUACCCGUUUGCAUGUACUUUAUGAAUAAGGAUCGGCUAACUCCGUGCCAGCAGCCGCGGUAAUACGGAGGAUCCGAGCGUUAUCCGGAUUUAUUGGGUUUAAAGGGAGCGUAGGUGGACAGUUAAGUCAGUUGUGAAAGUUUGCGGCUCAACCGUAAAAUUGCAGUUGAUACUGGCUGUCUUGAGUACAGUAGAGGUGGGCGGAAUUCGUGGUGUAGCGGUGAAAUGCUUAGAUAUCACGAAGAACUCCGAUUGCGAAGGCAGCUCACUGGACUGCAACUGACACUGAUGCUCGAAAGUGUGGGUAUCAAACAGGAUUAGAUACCCUGGUAGUCCACACAGUAAACGAUGAAUACUCGCUGUUUGCGAUAUACAGUAAGCGGCCAAGCGAAAGCGUUAAGUAUUCCACCUGGGGAGUACGCCGGCAACGGUGAAACUCAAAGGAAUUGACGGGGGCCCGCACAAGCGGAGGAACAUGUGGUUUAA
rnacentral:rRNA from 1 species